GUGAAUCAUCGAAUUUUUGAACGCAAAUUGCACUCUCUGGUAUUCCGGAGGGUAUGCCUGUUUGAGGGUCAGUUUAAAUAAAAAUCGUUGUGGUUGCUGGCUUUCGUUGUGAUGCACCUGAUUUUGGUCGUCCUGCUUUCGGUUAAGUGAGCUAAAAUUUUGCAUGAUUUUUGUCGAACGUAUUUAAAUUAUGUUACGUACGUUUGCGAUAUCGAAUACUAUGUUUGGUCAUC
rnacentral:misc_RNA from 1 species